GCCUUGGCAGUUGGAGGCGAUGAAGUACGUAUUCACUUGCGAUAAGCCUAGUCAAGCUAGUAAAAAGCGCUUGAGACUAGGAUUUCCGAAUGGGGAAACCCACCUGCUUGCAGGUAUCGUUAACUGAAUACAUAGGUUAACGAGGCGAACGCGGAGAACUGAAACAUCUAAGUACCCGUAGGAAAAGAAAUCAACCGAGAUUCCGAUAGUAGCGGCGAGCGAAAUCGGAACAGCCCUUAAGCUUAUUAUGUGUUAAUGGAAGGCUCUGGAAAGUGCCACGAUACAGGGUGAUAGUCCCGUACAGGAAAAUACAUUAUAAGUGAAAUCGAGUAGGUCGGAGCACGUGAAACUUUGACUGUAUAUAGUUGCUCCAUC
rnacentral:rRNA from 1 species